rnacentral:pre_miRNA from 1 species
UAUAUACUCCCUCCGUCCGGAAAUACUUGUCGGAGGAAUUGAUGUAUCUAGACAUAUUUUAGUUUUAGAUACAUCUAUUUUUAUGCAUUUCUCCGACGAGUAUUUCCAGACGGAGGGAGUACCUG